rnacentral:rRNA from 1 species
GGACAGUGUCUGGUGGGUAGUUUGACUGGGGCGGUCUCCUCCUAAAGAGUAACGGAGGAGCACGAAGGUUGGCUAAUCCUGGUCGGACAUCAGGAGGUUAGUGCAAUGGCAUAAGCCAGCUUGACUGCGAGCGUGACGGCGCGAGCAGGUGCGAAAGCAGGUCAUAGUGAUCCGGUGGUUCUGAAUGGAAGGGCCAUCGCUCAACGGAUAAAAGGUACUCCGGGGAUAACAGGCUGAUACCGCCCAAGAGUUCAUAUCGACGGCGGUGUUUGGCACCUCGAUGUCGGCUCAUCACAUCCUGGGGCUGAAGUAGGUCCCAAGGGUAUGGCUGUUCGCCAUUUAAAGUGGUACGCGAGCUGGGUUUAGAACGUCGUGAGACAGUUCGGUCCCUAUCUGCCGUGGGCGCUGGAGAACUGAGGGGGGCUGCUCCUAGUACGAGAGGACCGGAGUGGACGCAUCACUGGUGUUCGGGUUGUCAUGCCAAUGGCACUGCCCGGUAGCUAAAUGCGGAAGAGAUAAGUGCUGAAAGCAUCUAAGCACGAAACUUGCCCCGAGAUGAGUUCUCCCUGACUCCUUGAGAGUCCUGAAGGAACGUUGAAGACGACGACGUUGAUAGGCCGGGUGUGUAAGCGCAGCGAUGCGUUGAGCUAACCGGUACUAAUGAACCGUGAGGCUUAACCUU